rnacentral:rRNA from 1 species
AGAGAGAGACAUGCGCGCAUAUCAAUAAGCGGAGGAAAAGAAACUAACAAGGAUUCCCUUAGUAACGGCGAGUGAAGCGGGAAGAGCUCAAAUUUGAAAUCUUCAAGGUUCUACCUUGACGAAUUGUAGUUUAUAGAAGUGUUUUCUGUUAGUGGAGUGGCAAAAGUUCUUUGGAAUAGGACAUCAUAGAGGGUGAGAAUCCCGUAUUUGGUCAUUCCUCCUAGCGUUGUGAUACACUUUCAACGAGUCGGAUUGUUUGGGAAUGCAGUCCAAAAUGGGUGGUAAAUUUCAUCUAAAGCUAAAUAUUGGCGAGAGACCGAUAGCGAACAAGUACCGUGAGGGAAAGAUGAAAAGAACUUUGAAAAGAGAGUUAAACAGUACGUGAAAUUGUCAAAAGGGAAGCGUUUGACACCAGUGUUGUUUUUCCGAAAAUCAAUUACGAAUGUUUUAGUUUUUGAGGAGUUAUGACUUCAUCGGCUUGCUCCUUUCUUUAUGAAACUUUCUUAAUGCACUUUUCGGUUAACAAGUCAACAUCAAUUUCUUUUGUUGUAAAAGGGUAUGAGGAAGGUGGCUUUCUUUUCGGAGAAAGUGUUUAUAGCCUUGUGCCUCUGCAAUCGGAGAGAUUGAGGUCUGCAGCGUAGAUCCUUCGGGGUUAGAUACAGUUUGUGCUAAGUUAUAGCUUUUCAUAGACAACUUGUUGACUAUGUUUAGUCUUGUAGCUUACUCGCUGAUGCUAUUUUACCUACGCUUAGGAUGUUGAUAGUCACAGCGUGUAC